rnacentral:misc_RNA from 1 species
GGAAAAUUGUAGUUUGGAGGACCUCCACAUAGUUUAUCAUUCCCUAAAAUUGAGACGGCGGUUUCAUUUGCAAAGAUCCCUUCAGUUAGUACUUCGCCUUCAAGUUCGUUGAAUGAAAGAUCAAGCCUCCUAAGAUAUGGAAGUUUCCCAAGAAACUCAGGUAUUUCUCCUGAGAUGUUAUUGUGUGACAAAUCAAUUUCUUCUAAACCUCUUAAACCUUUCAAGGAUUCAGG